rnacentral:rRNA from 1 species
ACGAACGCUGGCGGCAGGCUUAACACAUGCAAGUCGAACGCACCUUUCGGGGUGAGUGGCAGACGGGUGGGUAACGCGUGGGAAUCUACCCUUCUCUACGGGAUAGCUCCGGGAAACUGGAAUUAAUACCGUAUACGUCCUGAGGGAGAAAGAUUUAUCGGGGAAGGAUGAGCCCGCGUUGGAUUAGCUAGUUGGUGGGGUAAAGGCCUACCAAGGCGACGAUCCAUAGCUGGUCUAAGAGGAUGAUCAGCCACAUUGGGACUGAGACACGGCCCAAACUCCUACGGGAGGCAGCAGUGGGGAAUAUUGGACAAUGGGCGCAAGCCUGAUCCAGCCAUGCCGCGUGAGUGAUGAAGGCCCUAGGGUUGUAAAGCUCUUUCAGUGGGGACGAUAAUGACGGUACCCACAGAAGAAGCCCCGGCUAACUUCGUG